rnacentral:rRNA from 1 species
UACGGAGGGAGCUAGCGUUGUUCGGAAUUACUGGGCGUAAAGCGCGCGUAGGCGGCUUUGUAAGUUAGAGGUGAAAGCCCGGAGCUCAACUCCGGAACUGCCUUUAAAACUGCAUCGCUUGAAUCCAGGAGAGGUGAGUGGAAUUCCGAGUGUAGAGGUGAAAUUCGUAGAUAUUCGGAAGAACACCAGUGGCGAAGGCGGCUCACUGGACUGGUAUUGACGCUGAGGUACGAAAGCGUGGGGAGCAAACAGG